AAGAAAGUCAUGGAAAAUUUCUGAAGUAGAGGUUUUGAAGAGAUGGACAUAAAAAAGGAAGCAAUCAAUUUCAUUAGAACCUGUACUUCUGUUUAUCAUUCAACAGUUGCAUAAGUGGAAAAAUGCAGUGAAUGAGUUAUCUCGUGCUAUCCAUCUUCAGCCAGAUGGAAUUCAACUAUAUAUAAUAAGAGGACAAUAUCUUCUUAUGAUGAAAUGUUAUGAUCUUGCAAAGUUUACUAUUUAUCAAGUAGCAGAGAUAAACAAAGGUCUCAUUGGGUUGAGUCCCAUUCAACAAGCACACAUUUAUUCAUUUUGUGAAAACCAUGACAAGGCCAUUCAGGUCUUGGAUGGGAUAUCGUGGCAUAGGUCGGAGAUGACCAUGUUUACAUUAUUAGCAAAAGCCCAAAUGAAGGCCAAGAAAA